GUGGAGCAUGUGGUUUAAUUUGAUGCAACGCUUGAAGAACGAAGCCUUACCUACUCUUGACAUCCAGAGAACUUUCCAGAGAUGGAUUGGUGCCUUCGGGAACUCUGAGACAGGUGCUGCAUGGCUGUCGUCAGCUCGUGUUGUGAAAUGUUGGGUUAAGUCCCGCAACGAGCGCAACCCUUAUCCUUGUUUGCCAGCGAGUAAUGUCGGGAACUCCAGGGAGACUGCCGGUGAUAAACCGGAGGAAGGUGGGGACGACGUCAAGUCAUCAUGGCCCUUACGAGUAGGGCUUUAAACACACGUGCUACAAUGGCGCAUACAGAGGGCGGCCAACUUGCGAAAGU
rnacentral:rRNA from 1 species